rnacentral:rRNA from 1 species
AACGAACGCUGGCGGCGUGCCUAACACAUGCAAGUCGUGCGAGAAAGUUCCUUCGGGAGCGAGUAAAGCGGCGCACGGGUGAGUAACACGUAGGUAACCUGCCCCCCAGUCUGGAACAACUAGAGGAAACUCUAGCUAAUGCCGGAUGAGACCACGAUCCCUUCGGGGGUUGCGGCCAAAGAUGGCCUCUACUUGUAAGCUAUCGCUGAGGGAUGGGCCUGCGGGCCAUUAGCUUGUUGGUGAGGUAACGGCUCACCAAGGCUGUGAUGGCUAGCUGGUCUGAGAGGAUGACCAGCCACACUGGGACUGAGACACGGCCCAGACUCCUACGGGAGGCAGCAGUGGGAAUAUUGCGCAAUGGGCGAAAGGCCUGACGCAGCGACGCCGCGUGGGUGAUGAAGGCC